GCCCGGGUGGUGAAAUUGGUAGACACAAGAGACUUAAAAUCUCUCGCCUCACAAGGCGUGCCGGUUCGAUUCCGGCCCCGGGCACCA
rnacentral:tRNA from 1 species